UCUUUAUUCCCCCAAUCACGUGUUGUUAUCUCGAACCUUCCCCUAUUAAAACUCACACUCAGUUGAUCUAGCCAUUUCAAUUUCAAAUUUUUAAUCCUAAAAUCUCAUAUUCUAUGUUUACAAAGUUCCGAAGAAUAUAGACACAUAAUAAAACAAUUUAUGGCUCAGACCUAAUUGGAGUUCUUGUUAAAAAAAUGUGCCCUCAAUGGAAACAAUGGUAAUUUUAGGUCUCGAUGGUGAUGACGAUAUGAUUUAUCUUCUCCCACAUCAUGAUCAAAUUAUUAACGACACCACAGUAAUCCUCCAUUCCAUUUAUCUCUAUAAAUUUUCUUCUUUGAACCACGAUUUUAGGGAUUUAGAUGCGGCCUCAUCUGCCAAGAAUGUCAAGAUGUCGAUUUUUUCAGUCAUCAGGAGUGCUAAACCCAUCAUGGUUGCAUAGGGUCAUCUUGGUAAGCAACCAUGAGUUUCAAUGUUAUAGGUGGUCUCUGUUUUGUUCUCGGUAACUAAUCAUGAGCUUAAUUGUUGAAGGUUAUAUUUAAUCUAUUUUUGCAUUUCUAUUUCAAAUUUGUGGCUUUUUUAUAAUCCACUUAUAAUCAUAUAUGAUCAUAUUGACAUUUUUCAAUAGUUGCAUUCUUUGUUUUCUCAAGGUUGGAGAUGGCUUUGGAUUUUUAUGUGGAAUUUUGUCAUCUGUCUAAGAACCUAUAUGGUUGCACUAAAACACGUAGCUUCAAGAUCAUGUUUCUUUUUUUCUUUUGUCUGAUUGGUUUGAAGAUAGAUUAAGUGCAUAAAGAUAGAUUAAGUUGUAUGUAUAAUAAUGUUAGUCUAGAAUAAUAUAAGUAUGUAUAAUAAUUGAGGUCAUAAUAUUACUACUCAUGAUCUGUUGGAUUCUAUUGAGAUACUUCAAGACCUCUGAUGAUGUUAGGAAACCAAAAGUUUCAAACACAACUUAUAUAAACACAUGUUGACAGUGUUGAUAUGGAAUUUUCUCCCUCUCAUUCUCUAUUAUCUCUUCCAAGGACGAGAACACACAAAACCUAAAAUGGUUUUGGUUUUGCUUGUUUUUCAAACUAAGAAGAACAAUAGUCUUGGUUGAUUGUAUUAUUAUAUUGGGGUGCAAAUUUGAUAAAUGGAUUUUGAUUUGGAUAAUCAUUGUUAAUUAAAUCAUAUGCACGAAAGGACUUCUAGCCUAGCGGUAUCCAGUUUGCAUUCUCUUAUUGUCUCCUUAAGAUAGUGGGUUCAUGUCCCGCACUGAACAAUAGUUACAGUUAUGAUAACAUUGAUAAUAUAACAAUGGAAAACAAAAUGAGUAGAUUUAAGGCUGUUAUUACCAUUGCAACACAACCAGUGAAUGAAGAAGGGUAUGAUAUGAAAAGGGAUAAGCUAAAAGAAGAUAUGGUCUAUGAUUAUGAUGACCCAUCGGAACGUCCACCGCAAGUUACAAUUUAAGAUCCUUUAACCUAAAACCAAAAAAAUGAUGAUCAAUGAUAAUUAAAGAGUGGGAGGCUAAAAGUGUUCAAAUUUGAGGUGGGAUGAAGUUUACCCUAAAGUCUCUACAAACGACUGAACAUCAUGUAUUAUUAACAAAAAUAUAACCCUAGAAAUGGAAGACCAUGUUAUAAAAACUAAGAAAAAAAGGUCAGGGAGUUUUCACGUUUUUUAUGAAUUUCAUUCCAUUUCAUGAAUGAUGAAAUCCAUAUUUUGUAUCAAAAAAAUAAAAAAAAAAACUUCAAAUUAUAACAUGACUUGGUCCAACCACAAAAAGCAUACUCCUCUAAUUGCAAAUUUCAGAUCACUACAUGAUAAAUAAAGAUGGUAGUUAUCGGAUAUGAUGUUCUAUGUGAUGUUACCUGUUCAGUAUAUCAUUUAAUUUGGGUCCGUUUAACAGGAUAUAUGUUUCUAAUUAAGAUCAUAUAUCAAUAACCUUUGAAUAAGAUCUUAUAUCAAUAACCUGCAUAUAAUGAUUGAGCACACUUAAUUCACAAAUAGUAUUUAAAGAUAUAAUGACCUCCACAUCUUAUCAACACAAACAAAUAAACCAUUGCACUUAUUAAGGUCCUGUUAUUCCGCCCCCCCCCCUCCCUAUGAAACCUAUAUCACGCGCUUUUUUUUGCUUUUAAGUCAAUCGCCCGAUUUAUUUUAAUUUUUUUCUUUUACAUACAAAAUCUAUAUUUUACAUUUAUGGUCUCUUUACUUUUGGAGUUUUUCAAUUUAUUUAUACUUAUUAACAAUAUUUUCAUUAUUCUUUUAUAACCCAUUUAAGUAUUUUAAUUUUUGACACCAAACAAUAACUUAAAUUUUAUAUAGCCCUAUUAAUUCAAAAGAAUAACAUAUCAUUUCAUAUAACUUUUACAAAAUUCAAAAAAUAAUUCAUCACUUAUUUUACAACUUUCAAUUUCAAAGAAUAAAACAUCACUUCGUUUUUGGACUUUUACAAAUUUUAAAAAAUAAUUCACCACUGAUUUUACCACUUGCAAUUUCAAAGAAUAAAACAUCACUUCGUUUUUAGAUUUUUAUAAAUUUCAAAAAAUAAUUAAUCACUUAUUUUACAACUUGUAAUUUUGAAAGAAUAACAUAUCACUUCGUUUUUGGAUUUUUACAAAUUUCAAAAAAUAAUUCAUCACUUUUUUUACAACUUGUAAUUUUGAAAGAAUAACAUAUCACUUCAUAUAUAGCUCUAACACUUUUAAAAAAAUAAUUCAUCUCUAUAUAAAUGUCAAGUACUACACAACAAUACUUACCAUUACCCAUCUUUUUAUAAUUCUCAAUUAUUACUCCUAUAUAACUUUUGUAACAAUUUUCAUCAAUAUAAUGGCGAGUUUUCAACCAAACGAAAGAAAUGAAGCUGUCAAUAACUCGUCAGAAUGUUUUGCAAAAAAGGUGUUCAAAUCCUAUGACGAUUUAAUAGAAUGGGUGCAAAAGAUGGGACGUGUGCUUGGGUACAUUAUUAUCAUAAGAAGAAAAAAGAUAAGAGGAAGUGGGCUCUUAACUAAAGUUAAUCUUAUAUGCGAUCGUGGUGGUAUUUAUAAAAGUAAAAAAAACCUCCAGUAGAAAUACUGGCACAAAAAAAAAUUAAUUGUCCUUUUGAAUUGAAGGGUAAAUAUUCCAAAUUAAAUGAUUCUGGGAUGUUAAGUGUGGUAUGUGAAAUACAUAACCAUGAACCCGCAGAAGACAUGGAGGUUCAUGCAUUUGCAAUGCGAUUGACUGAUAAUGAAUUUCGUUUGGUGGCCGACAUAGCUCGUAUGCAAACCAACAAAACUAUUCAUAUUCAUAUAUGAAUGAAUUUCCAAAGGUACUACAUCCUUACAUUAAGCAGGUACACAAUGUAGAAGGUGAUGGACAUUGCGGAUUUCGUGCAAUCGCUUCUUGUCUUGGUCUUCAUCAAGAUGAAUGGUACCAACUUCGAGUUAAUUUAAUGGAAGAGUUAGAAACACAUACUACUGAAUAUGGCGACAUGUUUGGAAGUGAAUAUCAGUUUCAAUUAUAUAACUCUUUGAAUUUCUUUGCCGAAGAAGCGCCGCUUUAAAACUGGAUGAUUAUGCCUGAUACAGGUGUCCUAAUUGCUUCAAGAUACAACAUGGUAUUACAUUGUUUUAGCCGACACGCAAGCACAACGUACUUACCACUUCGAUCUACUCCACCACCAGCCCAUGAACACAUUGUUAUUGCAAUUGGCCUCGUCUAUGGUAAUCAUUAUGUCAAGCUAGAGCUAGAAGGAGAGUACCCGAUGCCUCCUAUUGCACCACAAUGGAUUCAUUGCAAACGUCCAUGUGCAGCUGAAUGGGUCACCCCGUAUAUCGAACGGUUAAAUAUGUAUAAUCAUUAUUAUCGUGCUAGUUUUAAUGGCUAAAUAUGUAUAAUCAUUAUUAUCGUUCUAGUUUUAACGUCUAAAUAUGUAUAAUAAUUAUUAUCGUUCUAGUUUUAAUGGUUAAAUAUGUAUAAUAAUAAUUAUUUUUUUA